rnacentral:rRNA from 1 species
UAAGGAAUAUUGGUCAAUGGACGCAAGUCUGAACCAGCCAUGCCGCGUGGAGGAUGAAGGUCCUCUGGAUUGUAAACUUCUUUUAUCUGGGACGAAACACUUCUUUUCUAAGAGGCCUGACGGUACCAGAUGAAUAAGCACCGGCUAACUCCGUGCCAGCAGCCGCGGUAAUACGGAGGGUGCAAGCGUUAUCCGGAUUCACUGGGUUUAAAGGGUGCGUAGGUGGGUAUGUAAGUCAGUGGUGAAAUCCCCGAGCUUAACUUGGGAACUGCCAUUGAUACUAUAUAUCUUGAAUACCGUAGAGGUAAGCGGAAUAUGUCAUGUAGCGGUGAAAUGCUUAGAUAUGACAUGGAACACCAAUUGCGAAGGCAGCUUACUAUGCGGUGAUUGACACUGAGGCACGAAAGCGUGGGCAGCAAACA